rnacentral:rRNA from 1 species
AUUGAACGCUGGCGGCAGGCCUAACACAUGCAAGUCGAACGAGUGGCGGAAGGGUGAGUAAUGUCUGGGAAACUGCCUGAUGGAGGGGGAUAACUACUGGAAACGGUAGCUAAUACCGCAUACCCUCAGAUGUGCACAGCUGGGAUGAGCUUGUUGGUGGGGUACCGGGUCACCAAGGCGACGAUCCCUAGCUAGUCUGAGAGGAUGACCCGCCAGGAGGGAACGGAGACAAGGUCAAGACUCGAACGGGAGGCGGCCGUGGGGAAUAUUGCACGAUGGAGGCAAGCAUGAUGCGGACAUGGCGCGUGUAUGAAGAAGGCCUUCGGGUUGUAGAGUACUUUCAGCGGGGAGGCGUUACCCGCAGAAGAAGCACCGGCUAACUCCGUGCCAGCCGCCGCGGUAAUUC